AGAUACAACCAUAGACUUAAGAGAACUGGGCAUCCCAUCCGCUCUGCCAUACAUAAAAACUUGAGAUCGGUGGAUUAGUAGUUGGGAGUUGGGUGGGUGGCCACCAGCGAAUACCCACUGUUGUAUGUU
rnacentral:rRNA from 1 species